rnacentral:rRNA from 1 species
AGAGCGAACGCUGGCGGCAGGCCUAACACAUGCAAGUCGAGCGCCCCGCAAGGGGAGCGGCAGACGGGAGAGUAACACGUGGGAACGUACCCUUCAGUUCGGAACAACCCAGGGAAACUUGGGCUAAUACCGAAUACGUCCGUAAGGAGAAAGAUUUAUCGCUGAAGGAUCGGCCCGCGUCUGAUUAGCUAGUUGGUGAGGUAACGGCUCACCAAGGCUACGAUCAGUAGCUGGUCUGAGAGGAUGAUCAGCCUCACUGGGACUGAGACACGGCCCAGACUCCUACGGGAGGCAGCAGUGGGGAAUAUUGGACAAUGGGCGCAAGCCUGAUCCAGCCAUGCCGCGUGGAUGAUGAAGGCCUUAGGGGUUGUAAAGUCCUUUCGACGGGGAAGAUAAUGACGGUACCCGUAGAAGAAGCCCCGGCUAACUUCGUGUCAGCAGCCGC